AAGUCGUAACAAGGUUUCCGUAGGUGAACCUGCGGAAGGAUCAUUAUCGAGUUCCGGGUCCUUUCACAAGGCCCGACCUCCCAACCCUGUGUCUACUUGUACCACGUUGCUUCGGCGGACCGGUCCUCUGCGACCGCCGGGGGUCCUCAACCCGCCCCUGGAGCGCGUCCGUCGGUGGCCUCACAAAAACUCUUGAAAAACCGUGUCGUCUGAAGUACUUGAUAUAACAAAUCAAAAAAACAAAACUUUCAACAACGGAUCUCUUGGUUCUG
rnacentral:misc_RNA from 1 species